rnacentral:lncRNA from 1 species
GGUCUGAGAAGAAAGAGAAGAAGAAGAAGAAGGAGAAGAAAGAGGAGGAUAAAGAAGAGUUGUCAUCUCCAAAGUCUGAAAAGUCAGAGAAGAAGAAGAAAAAGAAGAGCAAAGAGGCAGAGGAAGCUACUGUUGAUGGUGAAGAUGACUCAGCAGCUGAGAAAAGUGGGAAGAAGAAGAAGAAAAAGAAGAGUAAAGAGGCAGAGGAAGCUGCUGUUGAUGGUGAAGAUGACUCAGCGGCUGAGAAUAGUGAGAAGAAGAAGAAAAAGGACAAGAAGAAGAAGAAGAAGAGUAAAGACAGUG